UUUGCACAGCCACGGGUGUAUCCUCUAAGCCACAGGGCACAGGCUUCUGUCAGCAUCAGCAUAUUGUUUUCCUUUAAUCACGACCUUGUGGUCAUUUUAGGAGGCAGCUCCUGUCCUACAGCAAAUCCUUUCGCCUCGCCAAACCAGCUCUGCUCAGCCAUUGUUUAUUCAUAAAAUGGUGUGUAUAUUCGUGGGGAACUUAGAUGGCCUUUCCAUUUAUUGGGGUCUUGAAGAUGGAGCCAUCCUUAUCUGCAGCUCCAGCAGUAUCUUGGUGACUGCAGUGCUGGCCCUUUAGCGGUGAAGGGUGUGGGCUCAAUUCCCAGGACGGGAGGAAGACUUGCUGGCCCUGGCAGACUGAAGUGAACCUACAGGUCUUUGUGAAAGGUGUAUGAGCUCUGGGGAAACACCUGAUGGCCCCUGGAGCUAGCGCUAGAACCAAAGAAUGUAAAUUUUGGUGGACUGCUGUAUCUUCAACUCCUUCAACAGUGCCAGGCACCCAGUAGGCCCUCAAUCAGCAUUUGUUGAAUGAACAUAUGAAGAAGUGAGUCAAAGAUCUCUAUCUUUGGGACCUUGGUGAGAGUUUCACCCUUCGAUAUUUACAGAAGAGAGUAAAAAUUUUGGAGGCAAAUUUGUGUAAACUCUUCUUUUUAAAAAUACAUCACCACACUUUAUAGUCUCUCACACAAUGCUGGACUGACUGGCAAAAGCCUAGGAUAUGAGUGACACCGUCCUGAUGUGUCCAUUCAUCGUGUGAGUCGGCACCAGCACUUCCAGCCUUCCUUCAGCUGCCCAGGUAGAGUCCCACUAGGUGAAAAGGGGCGUUGAACAGUCUUUCCGACUGGUUGGAAAAACUCCAGGAUAUAAAACGCAACAAUGGCAGCAUCUAAAGAUGAAGAUCCAGAGAGUCCAUGGGCAUCUUGCACCAAAAGCCCCCUGACGUCCCUAGAAUUGCAUGGCUGGAAUUGAAUGGGGAUAGAGUGGGGCAGAGGGCUUACUCUCUAGGUUUGAUGUGUUUUGGGAGCUGAAGGAUAAUGUGGCAGUGAAUGAGGGCCUUUCCAUUUUUAUCCUUGGGCUGUGGUGCUGGAGAUGGAGUUGGGCGAUGGAACCUACACCCCUAGCCCAGCCUCACAGACUAGAGCAAAGCUCAUGAGGACAGCAGGGCGGGUGCAGAAGGAUGGACUUAUGGGCCCCUGGGAACAAGCAAUGCUGCUCUGAGGCCAGGUGAUGGGGUGACAUCAGUGAGGGAAGGGGCACGCUCUCUCUUUGUACAACCCCAUUGUAGCGAGACUUCAGGGGCUCCUGGGGGCCACUGGACACAGGGUCACAAGUGAGACUCUACUCAGAGGUCACAGGCCCUGGAUAUCAUUGCAUCUAUGAGCACAUGUGGACAUCUGAGAGAGUGUUCUAGAAGUAUAGUGGAGAGAGAGGUAGAUCCUGCAGGGGUCGCAGGUCAGGUAGUGCAGGAUGAUCGAUGAGCAGUGCACCGGGGACAUGGGGAGCCCUUGGAGAACGGGAAGGAAAUAAACAAAUCCGGCCUGCACACUAUGAUUUGGUGGCAAACUAAAGAAAGCUCUCCAAAGGGAGGCAUUUCUCUUUUAGUUUGAAAUUUACUGGUAAAAAUAGUCAAGCCCAGAGUUGAGGGAAAAAAAUAGCUUUUAACUUAACCCGAUACAUUUGAUUUUGAAGUAGAGAGGUCAGCAUCAUGGAAACACCAACUCUAAAUCAGAUUUCAUCCAAGUUAUAUGUAGACAAAUACUAUACUACCACAAGUCUACACAUCUCAUUUCCUUUUCUGUCUUGUCCUCCAUUUAAUAACCCGAAAAUCUAUCUUUUUAUUGAGUUUCACGCUAUUUUCUUACUUACAUACAAUAGUGCUACUCUUACCAAUUGCCUGUUGUCAUGGCACAUUAGUUAGGUGAAUUUGUUGAUAUUUCUGUAUUUUUUAUUCUAUCAUCCAGUUUAAACAAGUGAUUGGGAGCACUCCUCUGAUGAA